rnacentral:lncRNA from 1 species
UUUUUUUUUUUUUUUUUUUUUUGAUAGCUUCGUUGCAGCGAGAACGCCAAGGAUCGUUGCUCUGAUACCAAAUGAUAAGACCCUAAAACCUUAUCGUCGAAGAAAGGGGAGAAAUGGGGAUGAUAAUUAUCACUUCGAGGGGAUCGGCCUCCUUGAUCGCUUCGAGGGGAUCGACCCUCCUUGAUCGCUUCGAGGGGAUCGGCCCUCCUUGAUCGCUUCGAGGGGAUCAGCCUCCUAGGGUUUGUCAAAAAACAUAAUAGUAUUUUCAUAUAUUACUGAAAAGAAGCAAUUACAUCCCUAUUUAUAGAGUUUC